rnacentral:misc_RNA from 1 species
GAUGAAGAACGUAGCGAAAUGCGAUACUUGGUGUGAAUUGCAGAAUCCCGUGAACCAUCGAGUCUUUGAACGCAAGUUGCGCCCGAAGCCAUUAGGCCGAGGGCACGCCUGCCUGGGCGUCACACGUCGUUGCCCCCCCAUCUACUCCUGCGGGAUUGCGGGGGGCGGAUGAUGGCCUCCCGUGCGCCUCGUCGCGCGGUUGGCAUAAAUGCCAAGUCCUCGGCGACGCACGCCACGACAAUCGGUGGUUGCGAAACCUCGGUUGCCCGUCGUGUGCGGUCGUCGCGCAUCGAGGGCUCGAAAAAAUUGCCGGGCUCCGGCUCGACUUUCAACGCGACCCCAGGUCAGGCGGGGUUACCCGCUGAAUUUAAGCAUAUCAAUAAGCGGAGGA